GUCCACGCCGUAACGAUGGGUGCUAGGUGUGGGCAGUGUCGACUCUGUCUGUGCCGAAGCUAACGCAUUAAGCACCCGCCUGGGAGUACGGCCGCAAGGCUAAACUCAAAGGAAUUGACGGGGCCCGCACAAGCAGCGGAGCAUGUGGUUUAAUUCGAAGCGACGCGAAGAACCUUACCAGGGCUUGACAUGCAUGGGAAUGUCGUAGAGAUACGGCAGCCCUUCGGGGCUCAUGUGCAGGUGGUGCAUGGCUGUCGU
rnacentral:rRNA from 1 species